CAUUCCCACCGUCCUUUAAAUAGUAGGCAUACGUGUCGGCAGAACGAAUCUUCCUCCGCAUCCUUCUUCUGGGAGGACAGUUUCUUAAGUUCAUCCUCAGGAUUGAACAUCCUAUUGAGGAACCUGGUCCUUGGGAAAGACUGAUUCUCCUCUCAUCUGCCAUUCAAUGACCACUUGUAAUUCUACCUGGAAGUGUGGGACUAUGUGGAAUUUCUGCUGUUGACAUGUCAACUGGAAUUGCUAUUUCACAGACCUUGCCCAGGCAAUCACAUCAUGAGAUUUCAUGGGCAAAUUUCUCCUGCUAUGCUCACGGGCAAAAUAAGAGACACAAGACGGAUGGGCGAAGAAGGAAAUCAGACAUGGUAUCAAUCGCCAACGCGGGGAACAAGGACAACAUCUUGUGCCUCAAGAAACUUGGCUGAAGAACCUUUUUUUACUCAAACGGAGACAGGUCCAGAACUCUGAGCAACCAUGAAAUAAACAACCAAAGCCACCUAAGGUGCCGCUUCCUUGUUUAACAUGGCGGUGUCUUGAAAAGGUAAAUCUGUCAUUUUACUGGGAAAAUGACCUGACAAAAUUAAGUACAACAAAGGAAGAAAAUCCGACAAGCGCGUGUCCCGUCCGUUACAUGUGGGUAGCUGUCACCAUGCGCUUUCAGGGUGCUGUUAAGGAAAAAUCUGCUGGAAGAAUAAUUCUCAUCUACCUUGAAGGGCAAAAGGAUGCAAAACGCAGAGUGCGCUCUGCACACCGGAAGUGUUAAGACACUAGGCACAGGGUCUCUCAGUGAGGACAGGUCCUCUUUGGUUUUCUCUGUUCAUGUGUCUCCAACCAUAGAUACAGUAAAAUCAAUGGGACAUGCUCCUUAAUGGCUUUUUACAGAACAGACGACUUUGAUUUUCAGACCUCGAAAAGCAUUCUAGGGUGAAGGGGGUUAGGACUAGACCUACUGAUCCCGUGAUCUACCGGCUGUGAUUUUGGAAGCAGCCCCAGUGAGAAAGAAGGGGGAAGCACAUUUUAGAGGGUGUGAUCUUCGACUAAACGAAGAAAGCACAAUUAGGACGAUUUUGAGAAUGCUUUCCAAUGGAAAAUGUUUCCCUAUAGAUGAUAAAUCACAUUGCCUGGGUUUUGCAUAUUACUUUAGGGAAAUGGGGAGAAAAUCAAUUUGGAGGUGUUAGGAAAAAUGGCUCAUUAUUCAGGUUCUCUGGCUAAUGCCUUAUAGGAUGAGUUAGGUAUUAAAACA
rnacentral:sRNA from 1 species